UACGUAGGGUGCAAGCGUUGUCCGGAAUUAUUGGGCGUAAAGAGCUCGUAGGCGGUUUGUCGCGUCUGCUGUGAAAACUCGGGGCUUAACCCCGGGCCUGCAGUGGGUACGGGCAGACUAGAGUGCGGUAGGGGAGACUGGAAUCCUGGUGUAGCGGUGAAAUGCGCAGAUAUCAGGAAGAACACCCGUGGCUAAGGCGGCUCUCUAGUACGGUACUGACGCUGAGACGCGAAAGCGUGGGGAGCGAACAGG
rnacentral:rRNA from 1 species